rnacentral:lncRNA from 1 species
AUGAACUUUUCAUUUGUUUUGGCUGCUACAAAUUAUGCAUUUAUGUGUGUUAGUAGUUGAGUUGGCUUUUUCAUGAACGAGUUUUCAGGACGUCAUUGUGAUAGCUACAAGGAGGAUGGUGAGGCCACCAAAGAAGGGCUCUGCUGCUCAAAGACCUCGCAGCCGCACACUCACCUCAGUCCACGAAGCAGUGCUUGAGGACAUCGUGAUGCCAGCUGAGAUUGUGGGGAAACGAACUAGGUACCGAGUCGAUGGUACCAAGAUCAUGAAGGUAAUGCUGCUAGUUCCUUUGUUGUUGUCGAUAUUGAACUAGUGCUGUAUAGUAUAGAGAAAUUCAGCCAACAUUCGACAUUUGUUCUUGCUUAUGAUUGACACAAUGGGCUCAUUUGAUUGUGAAAUCGAUGCUGGUGCAGGUGUUCCUAGACCCAAAGGAGAGGAACACCACGGAUUACAAACUAGAGGCCUUCUCGAAAGUUUACAGAAAGCUUACAGGCAAAGAUGUCGUAUUUGAGUUCCCAGCAACUGAAGUGGCCUAGGUAGAGGUUAGCUAGCUAGCUAGCUCAAAGCUACAUGUCGUUUUCGAGAUGAUUACGGUGUUGGUAAUUCAAUUUUUGUGUUCAAUGUUAACUUACUAUGUGAGGAAACCAGAUCUCUCCAAAUCGGAUUAUCAAUUUAUCAUUGGUAGAGUCACAACAUCCAGUAUUAAGCAUCAUAUAGUGACAAUGAAGUCGAUACCUAUGUGUUUUCUGAUUACGGUUGUGCAAAUUGGCUCGAAAUGGUUAUCGGAAUACCCUCUUGCCUCUAAUAUUUACCUUGGGUAUCGAGCCACAACCUCAUUUAUCAUCGUAUAGCAACAAUGAUCAUCGAUUCAUAAUAUUUUCACACUACAAAUUCACCAUGGUUACCGAGCAACAGCCUCGAAUGUCUCUUCAUUUGUCAUCGGAUGGAAAAUCGACAUUUUAAAACAUCAGUGUCAUUUUUGUUAAUGAUGUUUCCACCAUAGUGUGGCAUGCAAAUUGAUAAUUGAUUAGUUACUAACUGUAGAAACCAUUAUGGUUAAUCCAUUUAACCAUAUCCGUGGCCUAACUCUACUUCACUCGGUCCGACCAUCUGAGUAAUCAUUUUCCACUGACCAUACGGGCCAGGGGGACGACGGGCCUCGCAUUUUGCAAAUAGAAGUUAUAAACCCAAAAAGUCAUCAGAAACAUAAAGCCCAAUUUUAGUCAGCCCAGGCAAUCGAGCAAGCCCAGUUUUCGUAUUCAUCCUGCAUAAAACCCUAGCUAACAAUUAGCAGCCCUCCGCGCAGUUCUCCACUAGAGCAGAAAUCCUCAGAACUAUCGUCGCCUCCCUUGACGAUUUCGUGCCGCCGCUCUUCUCGGUAGGCACUGCUUUUACUCUCUACUGGAUCCUGUUCUUCGUCUUCCGUUGUUUUGUUUGUCUAAUCUCUGAGAAAAUGUAUGCUAAUAGCGUAAUCCUGGGUUAUCUUCCCACUGAAAUCUAAGUUUGAGUUUUAGCUUCACGAAAGUCUCUGUUUUCUCUCAUGGCUGGUUUAUAUCUUUUAAUUUCCGGUAUCAGUUACGGCUGUGUUAGUUUACCAAACCCUAGUUGAAUCAUAACGCCUAACUUUUAUUUCUCUGCUCAUUUGGUGAGGGAGGUCUUCACUUCUGCAUACAUAUUUUCUUUUAGAUAACCAGAACGUUGUCAACCUAAUAAAGCUGCUGUCUUUUCUGUUGUGUGUUCGUGUUUAGCUGCCAAUUCGGGUUUCAAUGUUUAACCGUUUUGGUUUUGUGUUGUUUGUUCUGGUAAAUGCAGUUCACGGUAAGAUGUAUACCGCAAAGCAGAAGAUCCACAAGGAUAAGGAUGUUGAGCCUUCAGAGUUUGAGGAGUCUGUUGCUCAGGUAUGCGGAAAAGACACAUUCCUUCAGACUAUUGACUUUAGAAGAUUGAAAUUUGAUUCUGAUUAAGGUAUGUGGUCUUUGUCUGUGCUGCAGGCGUUCUUUGAUUUGGAGAAUACCAACCAGGAGCUGAAGAGUGAGCUUAAGGAUCUCUAUAUCAACUCAGCCACGUAAGAUUUGCAUCAUUUCUACUAUGUGAAGUGACGACUGCGUUUUAUUCAGUGACUGAUAUUUUAUGCCUGUUUGUGUACUGCAGCCAGAUUGAUGUCUCUGGCAGCAGGAAGGCUGUUGUGAUCCAUGUUCCUUACAGACUUAGGAAGGCAUUCAGGAAGGUCCACACCAGACUAGUGAGGGAGCUUGAGAAGAAGUUCAGUGGAAAGGUAAUUGAACAUGCAAUUUGUUUUGUCCACUAUUCCUGUUUGACCUUUACCUUCUGGAUAAAGGCACUGAAAGUUACCCCAAAGCUGUAUAUUGGUUUGUACACUGCACUGUUGUAGACUUGUUGUUCUAAGUUGGCUCACUUUGUUGAACUUAUUUUCAGGAUGUCAUUGUUAUUGCUACCCGGAGGAUGGUGAGGCCACCAAAGAAGGGCUCAGCAGCUCAAAGACCCCGCAGCAGGACUCUCACUUCGGUCCAUGAAGCAGUGCUCGAGGACAUUGUGAUGCCAGCUGAGAUUGUUGGGAAACG